rnacentral:rRNA from 1 species
CGGCGAGUGAACCGGGAAGAGCUCAAAUUUGAAAUCUGGCGUCCUCAGGGCGUCCGAGUUGUAAUCUAUAGAGGCGUUUUCCGUGCCGGACCGUGUCCAAGUCCCUUGGAACAGGGUAUCAAAGAGGGUGACAAUCCCGUACUUGACACGACUACCGGUGCUCUGUGAUACGUCUUCUACGAGUCGAGUUGUUUGGGAAUGCAGCUCAAAAUGGGUGGUGAGUUCCAUCUAAAGCUAAAUAUUGGCGAGAGACCGAUAGCGAACAAGUACCGUGAGGGAAAGAUGAAAAGCACUUUGGAAAGAGAGUUAAACAGUACGUGAAAUUGUUGAAAGGGAAACGAUUGAAGUCAGUCGUGACCGAGAGGCUCAGCCGGCUCUGCCGGUGUAUUCCCCUCGGUCGGGUCAACAUCAGUUUUGUCCGGUGGAUAAGGGCGGCAGGAAUGUGGCACCCUCGGGUGUGUUAUAGCCUGCUGUCGCAUACACCGGGUGAGACUGAGGAACGCAGCUCGCCUUUAUGGCCGGGGCCCGCCCACGUACGAGCUUAGGAUGUUGACGUAAUGGCUUUAAACGACCCGUCUUG